rnacentral:rRNA from 1 species
UUGCACAAUGGGCGCAAGCCUGAUGCAGCCAUGCCGCGUGUGUGAAGAAGGCCUUCGGGUUGUAAAGCACUUUCAGUCAGGAGGAAAGGUUAGUAGUUAAUACCUGCUAGCUGUGACGUUACUGACAGAAGAAGCACCGGCUAACUCCGUGCCAGCAGCCGCGGUAAUACGGAGGGUGCGAGCGUUAAUCGGAAUUACUGGGCGUAAAGCGUACGCAGGCGGUUUGUUAAGCGAGAUGUGAAAGCCCCGGGCUCAACCUGGGAACUGCAUUUCGAACUGGCAAACUAGAGUGUGAUAGAGGGUGGUAGAAUUUCAGGUGUAGCGGUGAAAUGCGUAGAGAUCUGAAGGAAUACCGAUGGCGAAGGCAGCCACCUGGGUCAACACUGACGCUCAUGUACGAAAGCGUGGGGAGCAAACGGGAUUAGAUACCCCGGUAGUCCACGCCGUAAACGAUGUCUACUAGAAGCUCGGAGCCUCGGUUCUGUUUUUCAAAGCUAACGCAUUAAGUAGACCGCCUGGGGAGUACGGCCGCAAGGUUAAAACUCAAAUGAAUUGACGGGGGCCCGCACAAGCGGUGGAGCAUGUGGUUUAAUUCGAUGC